AUUAAACGCUGGCGGCAUGCCUUACACAUGCAAGUCGAACGGCAGCACGGGGGCAACCCUGGUGGCGAGUGGCGGACGGGUGAGUAAAGCAUCGGAACGUAUCCUGGAGUGGGGGGAUAACGUAGCGAAGUUACGCUAAUACCGCAUAUUCUGUGAGCAGGAAAGCAGGGGAUCGCAAGACCUUGACGCUCUGGGAGCGGCCGAUGUCGGAUUAGCUAGUUGGUGGGUAAAGGCCUACCAAGGCGACGAUCCGUAGCGGGUCUGAGAGGAUGAUCCGCCACACUGGGACUGAGACACGGCCCAGACUCCUACGGGAGGCAGCAGUGGGGAAUUUUGGGACAAUGGGCGGAAGCCUGAU
rnacentral:rRNA from 1 species